rnacentral:rRNA from 1 species
AUGUAUGCAGUAUGCGUGCACCUUUCAGGUGGCAGAAAAGCGAAGCCAACUGAUGCAGGCAACAUUCAUGCUCCUAUAAAUACCUUCCUGCGUCCUCAUCCUUCCUCAAGUGAGCACUUGGCAACGGCACAAGACACACCACAAAAGAAGCAGAUAGGAGGAGCAAGAAGAAGAUCGAAGGUGAUGGAGUACGAGCACCAGUACAUCAGCAGCAGCAGCUUGGGCAAGGAGAAGAGGCCUCCGGCGAAGAGGGGGCAGGUCAAGCUGCAGAUAGCGAGGGCGGUGAGCAACCUCGUGUCUCCCAGCGGCGCUGCCGACGGCUCGAAGCAGGCAAAUCGCAGCAGCUUCAGAAGGGAAACAAGCUACAACUAA